rnacentral:rRNA from 1 species
CCUACGGGAGGCAGCAGUAGGGAAUAUUGGGCAAUGGAGGCAACUCUGACCCAGCCAUGCCGCGUGCAGGAUGAAGGCGUUAUGCGUUGUAAACUGCUUUUAUAUAGGAAGAAAGAGUUCUUGCGAGAACAGUUGACGGUACUAUAUGAAUAAGCACCGGCUAACUCCGUGCCAGCAGCCGCGGUAAUACGGAGGGUGCAAGCGUUGUCCGGAUUUAUUGGGUUUAAAGGGUGCGUAGGCGGUUUAUUAAGUCAGUGGUGAAAGACGGUCGCUCAACGAUUGCAGUGCCAUUGAUACUGGUAGACUUGAGUGAGAUUGAGGUAGCUGGAAUGGAUAGUGUAGCGGUGAAACGCAUAGAUAUUAUCCAGAACACCAAUUGCGUAGGCAAGUUACUAAGUCUCAACUGACGCUGAGGCACGAAAGUGUGGGUAUCAAACAGGAUUAGAUACCCUGGUAGUCCACACUGUAAACGAUGAUAACUAACUGUUGGCUUUCGGGUCAGUGGUACAGAGAAAUCGUUAAGUUAUCCACCUGGGGAGUACGCCGGNAACGGUGAAACUUAAUGAAUUGACGG